rnacentral:rRNA from 1 species
UACGUAGGGUGCAAGCGUUGUCCGGAAUUAUUGGGCGUAAAGAGCUCGUAGGCGGUUUGUCGCGUCUGCUGUGAAAACUCGGGGCUUAACCCCGGGCCUGCAGUGGGUACGGGCAGACUAGAGUGCGGUAGGGGAGACUGGAAUUCCUGGUGUAGCGGUGAAAUGCGCAGAUAUCAGGAGGAACACUGGUGGCGAAGGCGGGUCUCUGGGCCGUAACUGACGCUGAGGAGCGAAAGCGUGGGGAGCGAACAGG